GACGAACCGUGCGAACGUUAUUCGGAAUCACUGGGCUUAAAGCGCGUGUAGGCGGAUGGGGACGUCGGUCGCUGAAAUCCCCCGGCUCAACCGGGGAACGGGCGCCGAAACGCCCCGUCUGGAGGGACGUAGGGGGACCUGGAACUUCCGGUGGAGCGGUGAAAUGCGUUGAUAUCGGAAGGAACGCCGGUGGCGAAAGCGACGUGCUGGACCUCUUCUGACGCCUGAGGCGCGGAAAGCCAGGGGAGCGAACGGG
rnacentral:rRNA from 1 species